AAAUAAUGAAUUAUAAGUAUAGAAAAUUUAAUUAAAAAUAAAUUUAAAAUAAUAGGGAUAAUUUAUGAAUAAAAUAAAUUACUGAAAUUAAAUCAAGGACCAAUACGCAACGCGUGCAAACGCACAGGGACCAAAGUUGGAAAUAUUCCAGAUCCCAAAAUGCAGCACUUAGGUGAGGAUCAAAUUGAAUCCACACGUAAAUUACAGAGAAAAACUAAAAACAAGAAAAACAAAUAAAAUUCAAUUGAAUUAUGGUACAAAAGAGAAGGACGUUGGUGCAAAUAUCCCUUCAAGACCAAGCACACGGAUCUUGACCGUGCGUGGGUCGGGUCAUUGGGUUGUGGCUAUUGUACGGUGCCGUUUUGUGGCCAUUGAUGUUGGCCUAAAACGGUGACGUCUACUGCUCUUUAUAUUCUCAAAACAAACCCUAAAUGCAACCUUUAGCCAUUUAUAAAAAAAGAAAAAGAACCUAAGUUACUCUCUCAAAUCAUUCGGCCGACCGAUAGUCCCCUAUUCGACCACCCUCGCGCCUCUCUUCUCGACGAAUGGCCGAUCGAAGGUCUCAUUCAACCAUGGAGUUUUGCUCACAAGCCCCAAAAUCACCACCUAGUUUCGAUUAUGACGAAACAAGCGAGGAUUUGAUGGUGUCGAAAACAAAGAUAAAUUCCUUUUUUAUUUUUAUUAUGUAGUAAAUGAAAAAGAAUCAUAAAGAAAGUAAAUGAACACUAAAUCGAAAGAAAAGCUAAAAAUCACAUUUUUUGAUUUGCUUUUGAAAUGUUUUUUUUUUGUAUUCAGUGUGCGUAAGUUCUCAAAGAUUACAUUCGGUGGCUUUUUAUAGCCGAAAAAUGAGAAUAAAAUAAAUAAGAAAAAUCAAAUCCUUACUGUAAUUUGUUGCAUAAUCUGUUAUUGGCUCCUUCUCGUGUGUUCUUUUGCAGGAACAGCCGUACAGAGGAACGAGGAGAGACGCGUGUGAAGGAGGCCGUGCUUGGAACCCUUUGUGGGGAACCCAAUUGUGGCUGGCUGCUGGUGUUUUCCAGAAGUUUUUGGCUUGGGCUCUAUGAGCCUACUUUGAAAACGAACGGCCAGAACUGAAGACUAUUGCUGCGACGCUAAUCACCAACUGGGGUUUGGGCUAGGGUUAGUCUUAGAUUGGGCCACCUGCGAAUCGGGCUAAGGACUUUGGGUUAUUUGUUAAUUUGGUAUUUAAUUUUGAUGUUUGGGUUUGGUUUAGUUUUAUUAUUUUUUAGGUUUCAAUUUGGGCCAACAUUUUGUAAUCUGGACUAAUGCUUUAUUUUUGUUUUGGGCUAUUAAAAGUAGAUGUAAAUAGACUUUUAUUUAUUGGUUUUGUUUUGGACUUAUUUUAUUUAUUUUUUUGAUAACUUUAUGGGCGCGGGCGAAAUGGGCCUUCUACAUCAAGGAUUCAAGGUGUCCUGUACUAACUUACGGGAUGUGAAAUUUUGUUACUUCGAGAUAAGAAGGCAUUUUAUACAUAUUUUGAUUUAUUCGAGUAAUUUUAAUUAAAAAUAACAUAAUAAAAAGAUGGAGCGUAUUUUAAAUUCUUUUCGAGUUCUAAACUUUCGACAUUAAGAUAUUAAUUAAUUAGGUACCAAUUUUGGGCGUUACGAGGGUACUAAUCCUUCAUCGUACGUAACCG
rnacentral:lncRNA from 1 species